rnacentral:tRNA from 1 species
GUGGCUCAAUGGUAGAGUGCUUGCCUUGCAUGCAUGAGGCCCUAGGUUUGAUUCCUAGC